GAAGAAUUUAUUAUUCACUCUGAUCAUAAAAAUAAUUUUAUAAAUCAAUUUAUUGUUUUUUUCUCAUAUUGGUGAUAAGAAUCCCUGUCUGAGCUUUAAUAAAUCUAGUCCAAAUAAUUAUGAAGUCUUGAAAGGCUAUUAUAUUUUUUUUUUGCUAAGAAGACUUACAAUGCUGUAAGGGGUCAAAGCAAAAAAAUAUAACAGCCUUUCAAGAUGUACGUCAUAAUUAUUUGGACUAAAAUAAAUCCAAAACCCUCUUUUUUUUAUGUUUGGUUGUAGAAUUAUAUAUUUUAUCUAUCUGUUAUUAUCUAUUG
rnacentral:lncRNA from 1 species